rnacentral:rRNA from 7 species
UCUAGUGAUGAUGGCAAAGAGGUCACACCCGUUCCCAUGCCGAACACGGAAGUUAAGCUCUUUAGCGCCGAUGGUAGUUGGGGGUUUCCCCCUGUGAGAGUAGGACGUUGCUAGGC